GAUCAUGUGGCAGCCUCACC
rnacentral:miRNA from 1 species